rnacentral:rRNA from 1 species
UACGUAGGGUGCAAGCGUUGUCCGGAAUUAUUGGGCGUAAAGAGCUCGUAGGCGGUUUGUUGCGUCGGCUGUGAAAUCCCGAGGCUCAACCUCGGGUCUGCAGUCGAUACGAGCAAACUAGAGUGUUGCAGGGGAGACUGGAAUUCCUGGUGUAGCGGUGAAAUGCGCAGAUAUCAGGAGGAACACCGAUGGCGAAGGCAGGUCUCUGGGCCGAUACUGACGCUGGAGGAGCGAAAGCGUGGGGAGCGAACAGG